rnacentral:lncRNA from 1 species
GCACAUCUGGGACUGCAUUAGACACCGACAGCAGGUAGUAGACUGGUACCCCAUCCUGUGGAACAAUCUUCAUGUUCCAAGAUACUCCUUCAUGCUUUGGCUUGGGUUUCUAGGAAAGCUUCAAACAAAUGACAUCACAAGAGCUCUGGAAGAAUUUUCAACUGUCCCUUAUGUAACAAUCAUCCGGAAACUUUCUCUCAUCUCUUUUUCAAAUGUGAAUACUCUACCAUCGUUAUCAAAGCUGC